GAUGAACGCUAGCUACAGGCUUAACACAUGCAGGUCGAGGGGUAACGAGAGGAAAGCUUGCUUUCCUUGUCGACGACCGGCGCACGGGUGAGUAACGCGUAUCCAACCUGCCCCCAACUAGGGAAUAACCUUGCGAAAGUAAGACUAAUACCCUAUAAUUUCCUCAGAUGUCAUCUUACGAGGAAUAAAGAUUUAUCGGUUGAGGAUGGGGAUGCGUCUGAUUAGCUUGUUGGCGGGGUAACGGCCCACCAAGGCAACGAUCAGUAGGGGUUCUGAGAGGAAGGUCCCCCACAUUGGAACUGAGACACGGUCCAAACUCCUACGGGAGGCAGCAGUGAGGAAUAUUGGUCAAUGGGCGGAAGCCUGAACCAGCCAAGUAGCGUGCAGGAUGACGGCCCUAUGGGUUGUAAACUGCUUUUAUACAGGAAUAAAGUUAGCCACGUGUGGUUAUUUGUAGGUACUGUAUGAAUAAGGACCGGCUAAUUCCGUGCCAGCCGCCGCAGUAA
rnacentral:rRNA from 1 species